rnacentral:misc_RNA from 1 species
UACGUAGGGACCAAGCGUUGUUCGGAUUUACUGGGCGUAAAGGGCGCGUAGGCGGCGUGGUAAGUCAGCUGUGAAAUCUCCGAGCUUAACUCGGAACGGUCAGCCGAUACUGCUGUGCUAGAGUACAGAAAGGGCAAUCGGAAUUCUUGGUGUAGCGGUGAAAUGCGUAGAUAUCAAGAGGAACACCUGAGGCGAAGGCGGGAUGCUAGGCUGAUACUGACGCUGAGGCGCGAAAGCUAGGGUAGCAAACGGG